AUCCGGCUGACGAGUCCCAAAUAGGACGAAACAUACAUCAAACUGGAU
rfam:Schistosoma rodhaini strain Burundi genome assembly, scaffold: SROB_scaffold0001241